rnacentral:rRNA from 1 species
UACGUAGGGUGCGAGCGUUGUCCGGAAUUAUUGGGCGUAAAGGGCUCGUAGGCGGUUUGUCGCGUCGGGAGUGAAAACACCGGGCUUAACUCGGUGCUUGCUUUCGAUACGGGCAGACUAGAGGCAUGCAGGGGAGAACGGAAUUCCUGGUGUAGCGGUGAAAUGCGCAGAUAUCAGGAGGAACACCGGUGGCGAAGGCGGGUCUCUGGGCAAUAACUGACGCUGAGGAGCGAAAGCGUGGGGAGCGAACAGG